GCACUGUGGUUUAGUGAUAAAAUACUUGUCUUCCAUGCAGGAGAUCCAGGUUCAGUUCCUGGCCAGUGCA
rnacentral:tRNA from 1 species